rnacentral:lncRNA from 1 species
UUUUCAUCAUAUUCGAUGUUUAACUCAUGAUCGACUUCUGAUAACAAAAGUCUGAUACUUGAGCUUCCUCGUUAAGCAAUAAAAAGGAUUUAGUAAAAGAGAUAAGCAAUAAAGUAUUUUUAUUACCUUUAAAGUUCAAAGUUUCCUUUUAAAGUUUGACAUAUUUUUAAGUUUUAACUACGCCUUUUGAAAUUGCAUUUGAUUAUAUUUUGACCCUUAUAACUUUAUUUAAGUUAUCAUUUUACUUUUUGAAAUUCAAAAUUUAUUCCACUUUAAUUUAUAGAUUUUCUUUUCUCUUUUCUACUUAAAACUUAUAGGUUGCCUCCUAAAAGAUACAUGACACCCAACAUUUAAUAAGACUAUGCCACAUGUGCAAUAAAUAAUCUAAAUAUCCAUUUUGCGUUAAUAUUCAAUAAUCAGAUAAUAUUAAACUUAAAAGAAAUUGAAGAGAUGAAAAAAAUAAAUAAAUAAAGAAACUGAUUAGCAGGCACACCCAAAUCAAAUCCACAUAAGAAACUAGCAUAUCUAAGGUAAUGUGAAGCAAAUUUUGAGAUUUAUAUAGGCGGCUUUCAAGAAAUAAAUCAGAGGCAAAAAAGAUCAAAUCAAGUUCCAGGGGUAAAGUGGAGCGAACUAUGAGUUUCAGGGAAUAAAUUAACGACUUUUGAAUUACAUGGAGCAAAGUAAGAUUAAAAUCGAGUUCCAGGAGAACGUAAGCGUUAAAGUUUUUAACUUUUUUAUUUCUCUAUGCCCAUUAGUUUGUUGGCAUUUCUCACUUUUGUCCCCACAAUUGAAAAUUCAUAAACAUGAUCUUUGAGUUUGUUUACUUAAAUUAUUU